rnacentral:rRNA from 1 species
UCAGGCCUAACACAUGCAAGUCGAACGGCAGCACGGACUUCGGUCUGGUGGCGAGUGGCGAACGGGUGAGUAAUGUAUCGGAACGUGCCUAGUAGCGGGGGAUAACUACUCGAAAGAGUAGCUAAUACCGCAUACGCCCUGCGGGGGAAAGGGGGGGAUCGCAAGACCUCUCACUAUUAGAGCGGCCGACAUCGGAUUAGCUAGUUGGUGAGGUAAAGGCUCACCAAGGCGACGAUCCGUAGCUGGUUUGAGAGGACGACCAGCCACACUGGGACUGAGACACGGCCCAGACUCCUACGGGAGGCAGCAGUGGGGAAUUUUGGACAAUGGGGGCAACCCUGAUCCAGCCAUUCCGCGUGUGCGAUGAAGGCCUUCGGGUUGUAAAGCAAUGUGGCAGGAAAGAAAUCGCACGGGUUAAUAACCCGUGUGG